rnacentral:rRNA from 1 species
AACGAACGCUGGCGGCAUGCCUAACACAUGCAAGUCGAACGAGACCUUCGGGUCUAGUGGCGCACGGGUGCGUAACGCGUGGGAACCUGCCCUUAGGUUCGGAAUAACUCCCCGAAAGGGGUGCUAAUACCGGAUAAUGUCUUCGGACCAAAGAUUUAUCGCCUUUGGAUGGGCCCGCGUCGGAUUAGCUAGUUGGUAGGGUAAAAGCCUACCAAGGCGACGAUCCAUAGCUGGUCUGAGAGGAUGAUCAGCCACACUGGGACUGAGACACGGCCCAGACUCCUACGGGAGGCAGCAGUGGGGAAUAUUGGACAAUGGGCGAAAGCCUGAUCCAGCAAUGCCGCGUGAGUGAUGAAGGCCUUAGGGUUGUAAAGCUCUUUUACCCGGGAUGAUAAUGACAGUACCGGGAGAAUAAGCUCCGGGUAACUCCGUG